CCCCUGGUAAUAUAGUUGGGUCUAAUAUAGGCGGCUGUCGCUCGCCCGACCCGAGUUCAAAUCCGGCCAGGCCC
rnacentral:tRNA from 1 species